AGUGGGCAAAGGAUGUGAACAGACACUUCUCAAAAGAAGACAUUUAUGCAGCCAACAGACACAUGAACAUGCUUUCAAGUGUUGUGCUCUUAAUACCUUUGAGGAAGUUUUGGUGGAAGAGACCACAAAAAACGGCAUAUACAUCUCAGCCUUCCGUUUAUAUAGAAAAUAUCUCUUGAAGGAUACAUUAAAAACUCUAGCAGUGUGAGUGUCUCUGGAUAGUGGGGCUUGGGAUAGGUAUUAUUUAAGAAGUUCUUUGCAUUAAAGAGAAAAUAUUACUAUUCUAAUUAAAAAUACUAUAAGGAAGUAACAUGCCCCUCUUUGCCUAGCUUGGUUUGCUGGGCCCACGAAGUCAUUGACCUGGCAUGCCGGACCCUGACCCCUCCUGCCUCACUCUUGGACUUGCCAUAGAAGCGCCUGGUAUUUGGGCUCCUGCAUAUGGAAGCUGUUUGCUCCGGCUUCAAGCCUUGUGCAUUUGUCUUCUGCCUGGACGACUCUGCCAUCCACGCCUCUGAGAGGCUGAACAUGCUCACCUUUCCCACUCAGCUGGGGAGCCUUCCCUUAAUCCUCGAGACUAGAUUCCUUCAGAUACUGCAUGCCAUCACUCUCCUCAAUCUUUCCCACAUGUUGAGAGUGUGUGUGUGUGUGUGUGUGUGUGUGUGUGUGUGUGUGUGUGUGUGUUAGAGCUGUUCUGCUCCUAUUAGAAACACUUUCUGAACCUGUCUGUAGGCUUGCUGCAGAAGCUUCAGAAGGCACAUGGGGAGAGGGAUGCUGGAGUGAAGAAGGUCUCUUUAUUGGAUAUUUUCUUCCUAAUUUCAGGUGGUGACUUCAUGCCUGGUGGAUCUGAAGCAACAUCCUCAAGUACAAAAUCAUUUUUAUGAUGUAAAGAUCUGUCUAGGGGAGAACCUGGCUCCUGUCAAACACUACUCAGCUCCGCCUAGAACCUGACUGUGUUUGACCCGCCUCUCCUCAGACUGUGCUCCGUGUGGACACCUGUGGCUAGCUGGAUGCAGAGGCCGCCGCAGUGGGUCGAGGUGGGCAGAACUCCAGGCUGCUCUAACAGGUCAGUGCUCUGCCCUGACACCACACCAGAUGGCUGCCGACCACCUGGGUUUCUGCUCUCUCACACUGAAGAACAUUUCUCCAGGGGACACAAAAGCUUAGCAUUCUCUCCUGAGGUUUUCUCUCUUACGUUUAACAUUGAGCUGUGCGAUUCAUCCGGAGUGCAUAUUUCUGUGCACCGUGGUCUGGUGCCCACAGUUUGCUGGCCUGGGGCUGGGUAGGCAGGCGUGGACCAGGAGUCCAGCCCUUGUGGAGGAAGCUUUGGCAGCUCACUGACCAGGCAGCGGGUGCCUGACCUGGGUCCCUGUCCAUGCACACCCCUCCCCCAUUUCCCCUCCCAGGGUCCUCACUGGUCUGUCACACCAUCUUACGGCAAUUUUCCAUUCCUCCUGCUGCUCACCCCUUGCCUUCACAGGGCAUGUUGCAUGUGCAAACCUGGGGCUCCGACUCCAGUCCACCCUGGGACCCAGCAGGGGUAGCUGGUUAUUCUCCAGGAGCGUGUGCCGAGGUCUGAACCCUACCCAUUCAUCCCCCGAGGGUGUCUGGUUGACUGAAGAUGAGGAAGGAGGAGUUUCAGGCUGGGAAAUACUCUAAUUCCUGCCGGAACCUGGACAUCCCUCACAAGCAGAGGUCAGGGGAGUCCUCGGCCCCAGAGGUGCUGAAUCAGCCCUUCACGCACAGCAAGUUCCCAUGUCUCUGGGGUGAAUGCCCGGAGGUUUUGUUGCUGGGUUACAUGGCCCUUAUGCAGGGGAAGCAAAACUUUACCUCUACUGUUAGUGUCUCUGGCUGGGCCUAAGAGGUAAGUGGACAUAAAACACAUUAACAGGAGAAAAGCACACAGAUUUGCACAUGUAAAUGGAACCCCAUAGGAAAAAGAAAGAUCCAAAGAAGCAGUUAGGCCUGAACGCUUAUAUACUAGGUUGGACAAAGAAUAAGUUGUGAAAAUGUGCAAGACGAUGGGGUCUGGGCUAGGGCAGUUCGUUGUGGAGAAGUGAUGAGGCAGAUGAGGGUUAGUUUAACAAGAUUUGUUCAUACAGAUUCCCCUUGGCACCAACUCCCUGCCUCUGGUGGUAAGAAUGGCUUCCUUCCUCCUGAUACAGGGAAGGUGCCUUUCCCAUGGGAGAUUCACCUCCUACUUUCAGGGAGAAAAAGGGGAGGUCAGGGCAUCUUCCUUGUGUCUGCUGUUUUUCAAGUGCCUUUAGCUCAAAAUAACCCUUAUUCUAAAGUGGCAUAUUUUGGGGUGGCAUAUUCUGCCACACUUCAC